rnacentral:rRNA from 1 species
UACGGAGGGGGCUAGCGUUGUUCGGAAUUACUGGGCGUAAAGCGUGCGCAGGCGGCUUCUCAAGUCAGGGGUGAAAGCCCAGAGCUAAACUCUGGAAUUGCCUUUGAGACUGAGUGGCUUGAGUACGAGAGAGGUGAGUGGAAUUCCCAGUGUAGAGGUGAAAUUCGUAGAUAUUGGGAAGAACACCGGUGGCGAAGGCGGCUCACUGGCUCGUAACUGACGCUCAUGCACGACAGCGUGGGGAUCAAACAGG